rnacentral:rRNA from 1 species
UCGCCGGUUUUUGAAAACCAUUGUCUUUUUUAAAUUAAUAAAAGAUACAACCUGCCCAGUGAUAAUUUCAACGGCCGCGGUAUCCUGACCGUGCAAAGGUAGCAUAAUAAUUUGUCUUGUAAUUUAAGACUAGAAUGAAUGGUUUUAUGUAAUAAAUUCUUUUUCACUUUUUACUAAAAAUAAAAUUAUAAGUAAAAAUGCUUAUAUUUUACAAAAAGACAAGACGACCCUAUAGAGAUUUAUCUAAAAUUUUAWCUUAGAUUUUGCUGGGGCGGCAAGAAAAUAUUUACAACUUUUCUUUUUUUAAACUGUUAAGUUAAGAUCCUAAUGGAUAUCAUGUAAGAGCUACCUUAGGGAUAACAGACUAAUUUUAUUUUAGAGUUCUAAUCCAAAAUAAAGUUUGGCACCUCGAUGUUGGCUUACAAUAUUUUUUACCCGCAGAAAGGAAAAAAAAUGCCUUGUUCAAACAUUAUAAUUUUACAUGAUCUGCGACACCCGGUUGGAUCAGGACACCCCGAUGGUGCAACCGCUAUCAAAGGUUCGUUUGUUCAACGAUUAAAGUCCUACGUGAUCUGA